rnacentral:rRNA from 1 species
AUUGAACGCUGGCGGCAGGCCUAACACAUGCAAGUCGAGCGAGCGGCGGACGGUUGAGUAAUGCCUGGGAAUUGCCCAGUCGAGGGGGAUAACAGUUGGAAACGACUGCCAAUACUGCAUACGAUCGGAUUGCCCAGGUGGGAUUAGCUAGUUGGUGAGGUAAAGGCUCACCAAGGCGACGCUCCCUAGCUGGUCUGAGAGGAUGAUCAGCCACACUGGAACUGAGACACGGUCCAGACUCCGACGGGAGGCAGCAGUGGGGAAUAUUGGACAAUGGGGGAAACCCUGAUUCAGCCAUGCCGCGUGUGUGAAGAAGGCCUUCGGGUUGUAAAGCACUUUCAGCGGGGAGGCGUUACUCGCAGAAGAAGCACCGGCUAACUCCGUGCCAGCAGCCGCGGUAAUUC